AGUGAACGCUGGCGGCGUGCCUAAUACAUGCAAGUCGAACGAUGAAGCUUCUAGCUUGCUAGAGUGCUGAUUAGUGGCGCACGGGUGAGUAACGCAUAGGUUAUGUGCCUCUUAGUUUGGGAUAGCCAUUGGAAACGAUGAUUAAUACCAGAUACUCCCUACGGGGGAAAGAUUUAUCGCUAAGAGAUCAGCCUAUGUCCUAUCAGCUUGUUGGUAAGGUAAUGGCUUACCAAGGCUAUGACGGGUAUCCGGCCUGAGAGGGUGAACGGACACACUGGAA
rnacentral:rRNA from 1 species